UACGGAGGGUGCAAGCGUUAUCCGGAUUCACUGGGUUUAAAGGGUGCGUAGGUGGGUUGGUAAGUCAGUGGUGAAAUCUCCGAGCUUAACUUGGAAACUGCCAUUGAUACUAUUAAUCUUGAAUAUUGUGGAGGUCAGCGGAAUAUGUCAUGUAGCGGUGAAAUGCUUAGAGAUGACAUAGAACACCAAUUGCGAAGGCAGCUGGCUACACAUAUAUUGACACUGAGGCACGAAAGCGUGGGGAUCAAACAGGAUUAGAC
rnacentral:rRNA from 1 species